GACGAACGCUGGCGGCGUGCUUAACACAUGCAAGUCGAACGGACAGGCCCUGAUCUUGUGGGGUGCUCGAGUGGCGAACGGGUGAGUAACACGUGAGUAAACUGCCCUUGACUUUGGGAUAACUUCAGGAAACUGGGGCUAAUACCGGAUAGGAGAUACUGCUGCAUGGUGGGGGUUGGAAAGUUUCGGCGGUUGGGGAUGGACUCGCGGCUUAUCAGCUUGUUGGUGGGGUUGUGGCUUACCAAGGCUUUGACGGGUAGCCGGCCUGAGAGGGUGACCGGCCACAUUGGGACUGAGAUACGGCCCAGACUGCUACGUGAGGCAGCAGUGGGGAAUAUUGCACAAUGGGCGGAAGCCUGAUGCAGCAACGCCGCGUGCGUGAUGACGGCCUUCGGGUUGUAAACCGCUUUCGCCUGUGACGAAGCGUGAGUGACGGUAAUGGGUAAAGAAGCACCGGCUAACUACGUG
rnacentral:rRNA from 1 species